GACAGAGGGUGCAAACGUUGUUCGGAAUUACUGGGCGUAAAGGGCGCGUAGGCGGCCUUCUAAGUCAGACGUGAAAUCCCCCGGCUUAACCUGGGAACUGCGUCUGAUACUGGGAGGCUUGAGUAUGGGAGAGGGAUGUAGAAUUCCAGGUGUAGCGGUGAAAUGCGUAGAUAUCUGGAGGAAUACCGGUGGCGAAGGCGGCAUCCUGGACCAUUACUGACGCUGAGGCGCGAAAGCUAGGGGAGCAAACGGG
rnacentral:rRNA from 1 species